rnacentral:rRNA from 1 species
UCUUACGGCCAUGCCACCCUGAACACACCCAAUCCCGUCUGAUCUCGGAAGCUAAGCGGGGUCAGGCCUGGUUAGUACUUGGAUGGGAGACCACCUAGGAAGACCAGGUGCUGUAGGUG